UGAAAACUACCCUUAUUUCCAGCAAAUAGCAAAAUGAGCAUUCUUUCCUGUAAUGAAAAAAAUCACUGUAAAGAGUGGAGUCGGGUUCUGUCUGGUGCUCGGGUGAAUAACGGUGGCACCAACAUAAGGGUGGCACCAUAUGCAGGCUGUACAGACGUGCUGUCUAACCUACCCCUCACUAGAAGGUCAUGGGGCAGCUUUAAAUAAAUCCUUCUCUCAGGUCUUGCUGGCACAUUGAUGGGAGUCCCCAAGAAUGUACAGCCAUCCAGCACUUCCUCACGCAGGUGACAUUCACCAUGUCACCCUGCAUGCAGCACCCAAGGCCUGGCAGACCAUCUGGUGACCGCACUCCAGGGAGAAAACAGCUGUGCCAGGCCUUUCCCAGCAUGGAACCCUGUGCCUGGAGAUGUGCUCCUAGAGGGCACAAGACAGCACGUUUGGCCCUUGUCAUGGCACCCCAACAGCUUUCCAGCAGGGAGAGUGUUUUCGUGCUUGAGGUGACCACAGUGACAGGAGCCUCACAGCAAGAGAGAAGCCUGCACUGGGUGUGCUGCAGAAAUGGGAUUUUCUGCACUUCCUUGGAGAAUGAAGGGGCCAAAUACCUCAAUCUCUGACAGGAUGCCCUGACAAAUGCUCCUUCCACCGGAAACUGAAGCUAGAGCAGCCAGGCUGUGCUGCCUUCACAGGAGAGAGGGCACAGCCAGGCUGGGUGCAGAGCAGGCUCCUGAUCCAGCACAGUAAGCAAAAUGAGGUGUUGCACAAACCAAACGUCUUAGAGCCCUUUCCCACAGCUCUGUGGGUUCACAGCUCACUCCAAGAGAUAUUUCAUGCUGUAAGUCAAGCCUGAGCCUCUACAUCUGUAGCCACAGUUUGGGAAAUCAGCUAAUUCAAUCACACAGUGAGAACUGCUGCUUCAUGGUGCAGUGGCUCCUGUCUGCAGCCUAACCUUUGCAUGUAACAGCUUCUUGGGAAGUGAAAUCAAAUCCUGCCCUUACCAAAGUCAUUGUUGGAUGAUCCUGUAGUAGAAGGUAAUUUUACAUUGCCUGGUUCUGGGUAGGUUUUUUGUUAUAUCAUUUUCUCUGUUUUGAAUGAAAAUAAUAUUUUUUUAAAGCUAUAUAUUCAAGCUAUUUCCAAAAACACAGGGUCAAUAUAUUCUUACUACUAGUAAUGAAUCUGAAAAUUCAUUCCAUGAUCACAAGUUACCACUAUCACCUUGUUCCUAUAGAUUUUCUUUUUACAGUCAAAAUCACCUUUUUUUCAUUGCUGAGCCCACUCUCCCUAUUACUCAUGGUAUGAGGCAAGCCUUGACUUCUCACUACUGGAUAUGAUGACCUUCAAUGCCUCUUUUUCCCCAUAGAAAAAUCUACAAUUCUGUCUGACAUAGGAAGAAUUUAGCAAGGCCUCCAUAGUCCUCACAUACAUAAAAACCUUCUACCAAAAUUGAGUUCUUCUGACCUGAGCCUUCCAAGCCAACAAUAGAGGCUCUAAUAUUUGUGGAACAAAGAUAUUCUUUUCCCAAUUUGUGUACCUUGAGUGUUGUGUUCAAAGAUAAAAGCCUUGUUUUAUCAAAAGCUGGGUCCACCAAAAGCCAUGGCCUUAUGCAAUAUGCAUGUACAAUAAACACAUUCCGUGGUGUAUGACAUUAAAGACUUGGAGAUAUUGAAGAAUGUAUUAGCAAUCUGAAUAAAGAUAGGUCACCUGGAUCUGAGCUACAUCUGCAUCUUGCAAAGGUUACAAGUGAAUGUCACCUUAACUACAUCUGCAUUGCAUCAAAGUAAAAACUCCCAAUUACUGAACAAAGGAACCGAAGGGAAUCAUUCAGAUUUAAAGUGGCUCCUGCAGGGCAGGAUUGUCAUAAAAACUGGGUCACAAGAUCUGUGAGUUGGCCAAUGGCAGAAUUUAGUCUAAAAAUAAUAAAUGGAUAGAUGUACCAAAAAAUACUCUUGAAUUCUAAUUACAGGCUAAUUUUGUAUACUACCAAAAACUUUGGCAAAAGGCCCAACUGACAAGGCAAGGAGCAGAUAAUGAAUUAAAAUUUAAAAAUUCUCAAAAAGCAGGAACAAGGACAGGCAGCAAAGGAGGACUAUAAAGUAUUGCUUAGGCAGUCAGGGAUGGUGUCAAUAAAGACAGAGCCCAGUUUAAGCUCAGGCUGCCUGGGGCAUAAAAGGUAAAAGGAAAAGAAUCCUGUAAGCAGCCUAGUAGCAAACUGAGGUUCAAAGGAAAUGUGAAACUAGUGUUUAACAGGGAAAUAUGGAAAGAUUUUUUUGCCUCAGUCUUCAAAAUAUUUCCAGACCUCCAUACACACCUGCAGUUUGAGGAAUGAGGAAACACACAAGUGAGAGAAUUAAGGACUAUUUGGAGACACUGGGUAUAUUCAUGGCUAGAGAGAUAGAUGGGACACAAAGAAGGAUGAUUAAAACCUUAUGAUAUGAUUGUCAAGCACAUCAUUAUACGCACAUGUGAUCAUCCAGAGAAGUCCUUGGAAAGGGGCUAAAUAUUGCAGUCAUCUUUAAGAAGACUGCAGAAGAUCUGAAGAACUACAUGCUGUCCACUUUCAACUCAGUCCCUAGAAAGACCUGCAGCACAACUCUUGAGGAUCCAUUUCCAAACAACUGAAGGUCAAGUAGGCAGUGAGAAAAAUGUGGAUUUACAAAGGGCAGAUCAGCGCUGAUAAUCUUUCUCUAAUUAAAUUACUUGCUAUAUGGACAAGGAGGCAGUAGUGAAUAGGAUGUGCACAUCACAGUGACUUCAUGCUUCAAAGCCACCAGUUUUACCACUGUAAGAACUUCUCCCAUAAUGUCUACAGGUCACAAGUACCAUGCCUCAGCUGCAAAAAUGCCUGUGGCUGCUCCAGCCCUCCACAAUCAUCGGCUUCUCUUUCCUGACCCUUUGAACCUCCUGUCUCAGGUUUGCCUGUUUUCACAGAAUGAUAAAAUGGACAAGAUUGGAAGGGAACACAGUAGGUCAUCUGGUCCAAUCUCCCUGGUCAAGCAGGGUCAUCCUAGAGCACAUAGCACAGGAUUUGUGUCCACGGGGUUCCUGAAUAUCUCCAGUGAAGGAGACUCCACAUCAUGUCUGGGCAGUCUGUUACAGUGCUCACUCACCCACACAGUAAAGUUCUUCCUUGUGUUCAAGCGGAGCCUCCUGUACAUCACAUUCUGCCCGUUGCCUCCUGUCCUAUUGCUCAGCACCACGAAGAGCCCGGAUCCAACCUCUUGAGACUCUCCCAGGGGAAUUGGCUGCUCCUCCCAACUUUGUGUCCUCAGUGCUCUUGCUGAGAAGGCAUCUGCCCCUUCAUUCAAGUUAAACAGUACAGGGUCCACUAUUGAACCUUUUGGGAUGCAAAGGUUAGUGACAGGUCUCCAGCUAGACUCUGGUUUUGCCUGUUUCAUGCCAUAGAACAGCACCCAGAUGAGUCUUCUGUAGAGAUGCUUCACUGUAUAAGAUGUAGAACAGUGAUUAGGUGUGAUGGUCCUCUUGCUCUAUGAACUAAUAAUUCUUUAUGUAUUCCACAGGGUUUCGUUCCCAAAAAUGAACCUGGAGUUAUCAGAAGCAUUCAAUCAAUCCUAAAAAUCCUAACUUAAGAAGUGUUCUUCAGGUCAUUUUACACCUUCUAGGUAAUUGUUUUCUUAUAUUAGCUCCAGUUGUGUAAACAUUUUGGGCAAGACUGUGACACAGCAUGUAAAAGAGGAACAAUCAAAGACACUCGAUUACACCAGUAACUAACUGGAACAAGACUCAGACCAGAAGCUUCAUGUAUCUACUGCCGUCUGGAGGUUUGCUCAAGGGCCAAAAACAGAGAAGUUCCAUUGUCUGAUUCAAUGCCAUCAUUUAUGGGGCGUCACUCCAUUUACCUCCUCCUCUAGCAGAGCCUGCAGUAAGACUUAUGAGCCUAUGGAUAGAUAUGAACAUUUUGGAAAGAAUCUACAUGCUUCUAAAGAAGGAAGAUCCUGUCUCACUAACCACAGAGUCUCUGAAGAGGUGAAUAAGCAGGAGGAAAAAGGUGAUAUAUCAGACAUACCUGGGUUUCAAAAAAGUUUUCGGCAAUGUUAAAUACUUGAUAAGCUAAUGUUGCUAAGAAAUUGGAUUAAAAAGAACUAUUAAAAGGUGAAAGCUAGUUAAAGGGUAGGAACUUUCGUUCCAGCACAAAAAACCCCAUUCAUUAUCAUGACUUGGUGAUGAAUCGAUUUAUUAUGCAAACUACCUAACAAAUAAACUGGACAUAUUUAGUGUUACAAAAAAAGUAGCUGAACUAGUAUUUAACUUAGUUUAAAUUUGCUAACUAGUUAAAAUUAGUUAACUAAUUUAACCACUGGAAGUUAAAUUAGUUUGAUACCAAUUAUUGCAAGAACAAAAAUUGAAGUUAUUCUAAAUUUUAUCACUACUACCUUUAUUUCCACAGUUCAUUUCAAGAACUGACAGAAACCAGCAGAAUAAAUAAAAAAGUGAGAGAAGAACAUGUAUUUUAUUUGUUUUGAGACAAAAGGAGCUCAUCUCAUUUAGAUCAAAGAAAUGGAGAGCAAAUGAUUGAAACAAGUUUUUAAGAAUUUACAGAAAACAGAAAAAACAUCUUCAUGUUUAUCACACCAAUACACAACUGAAUUUCCUAUGAACUCUCUAUUCCUUUAGACUUGGCACAUUUUUUUACCGCUCACUACCAUACUUCACAUCUUUGCUUGUCAAAAUGUUAUAUUACCUAUGUAAACAUCUGUUUUAUGUGUAAACUUCAACAAGUAAAUGGGAAAGCCUACUAAUUUAUC